CCUANGGGAGGCUGCAGUCGAGAAUUUUUCUCAAUGGGGGCAACCCUGAAGGAGCGACGCCGCGUGGAGGAUGAAGGCUUUCGGGUUGUAAACUCCUGUCAUUUGAGAACAAGUGUUGGCAAGUAACUACUGCCAACUUGAUAGUAUCAGAAGAGGAAGGGACGGCUAACUCUGUGCCAGCAGCCGCGGUAAUACAGAGGUCCCAAGCGUUGUUCGGAUUCAUUGGGCGUAAAGGGUGCGUAGGUGGCGUGGUAAGUCGGGUGUGAAAUUUCGGAGCUUAACUCCGAAACUGCAUUCGAUACUGCCGUGCUUGAGGACUGGAGAGGAGACUGGAAUUUACGGUGUAGCAGUGAAAUGCGUAGAGAUCGUAAGGAAGACCAGUGGCGAAGGCGGGUCUCUGGACAGUUCCUGACACUGAGGCACGAAGGCUAGGGGAGCAAACGGGAUUAGAUACCCCANUANUC
rnacentral:rRNA from 1 species